rnacentral:rRNA from 1 species
GAUGAACGCUGGCGGCGUGCCUAAUACAUGCAAGUCGAGCGGACGGACGAGAAGCUUUCUUCUCUGAUGUUAGCGACUGGCGGGCGGGUAAGACGUGGAUAACCUACCUAUAUGUCGGGGAUAACUUCGGGAGACCAGUGAUAAUACCGGAUAAUAUUUUCAACCGCAUGGUUCAAAAGUGAAAGACAGUCUUCCUGUCACUAAUAGAUGGAUUCGCGCUGCAUUAGCUAGUUGGUAAGGUAACGGCUUACCAAGGCAACGAUGCAUAGCCGACCUGAGAGGGUGAUCGGCCACACUGGAACUGAGACACGGUCCAGACUCCUACGGGAGGCAGCAGUAGGGAAUAUUCGGCAAUGGGCGAAAGCCUGACGGAGCAACGCCGCGUGAGUGAUGAAGGUCUUCGGAUCGUAAAACUCUGUUAUUAGGGAAGAACAUAUGUGUAAGUAAAUGUGCCCAUCUUGACGGUACCUAAUCAGAAAGCAACGGCUAACUACGUG